CGGACGGGUGAGUAAUGCUUGGGAAUCUAGCUUAUGGAGGGGGAUAACUACGGGAAACUGUAGCUAAUACCGCGUAAUAUCGAAAGAUUAAAGUCGUGGGACCUUCGGGCCACAUGCCAUAGGAUGAGCCCAAGUGGGAUUAGGUAGUUGGUGAGGUAAAGGCUCACCAAGCCGACGAUCUCUAGCUGGUCUGAGAGGAUGACCAGCCACACUGGGACUGAGACACGGCCCAG
rnacentral:rRNA from 1 species